CCUCUACGGCAUUGAACGUGACUGGGUUAACGCCAUAUGGCUUGACGUUAAAGAAAAAACGUGGUAGUUUCAUGAGCAACCGAUGGUUUUUGCGGGGGUCAACGCCAAGGUCCAUGGCGUUUUUUUUUUGUGAAAAGCCAAGGUCCAUGGCAUGCCCCCCCCCCCCCCCCCCCCCCAAAAAAAACUGGAAUCGACUUUUCUGGGGUGUAAAAUUGACGUUUUGGGGGGUCAACGCCAUGGUCUGUGGCGUUGAGCUCCAACACCCCAACGCCACGAAAUUGCUCAGUUUUUUCAACGCCAGGCUAUAUGCCGUUAACCUAGUCACAUUCAACGCCAUAGUUGU
rnacentral:pre_miRNA from 1 species